rnacentral:lncRNA from 1 species
CAGCCAAUAUCUGUAUCUGAGUGCCUUCUCGUUCCCAGGAAUCUUUGGCUUCAAAACAUGUAGCCCCACAUAUCCUUCAUCUCUGGCUGCUGACCUUGUGAGAAAGUUCAUAUGUCACCGCCAUCUCAAGACGGGAAGAAAGGACCGAAACUCACUCCAACAAAUACAUCAAACUUCUGGGAAAAGACAAAAUGAAUCUCACGAAAGCUUGGAAUCCUAUGAACUUAAUCCCUUCCUUAACAGGAGAAAUGCUAAUACCUUUAUGACUCCGCAGCAGAGAUGGAGAGCUAGAGCCCAAGAAAGGAUCCGAGAAAGCACCAAGCCUGCCCAUGAGCUCAACCGGGAAGCCUGUGAGGACUUCAAACUUUGCGAACGCUAUGCUAUGGUUUACGGAUACGAUGCUGCCUACAAUCGCUAUUUCCGGCAGCGCCGAUGGGAAAAAUGAGAUUGGGAAACGUCUCUUUCUUUCCAGAGCCUGGUGCCUGGUUUUGUAUUCCCUUGCAGUAGCAUCACUGAACUAUAUAGACACACACAAAUUGCUUGUUUCUUAAAUGUUCUCGUCUGGCUGCACCCGUCCUUCCUGCCCGCAUUGAUGAGUAGUGAAAGUGCAGUGUAGUGAAGGUUGAAGGGGAGUUAAGAUGUGUAAUUACUACACAAUAAACUUCUGGUUGGAUCCUUUCAUUUUGUGAGUCUGAUUCUUCUGGGAAAAUGCUGAGAUGUUUAAAUCACAGCCAUCUAACCCAGAAUAGGAGAUUCUGUCAGUCAUGUUCUAGUGUCAAUCAGAAGCAAAACUAUAUAGGAAUAAUGAACUUUAGAAGACAUUCACCCAGCCCUAAUUUGUCUAGACUCUCUCUGCCUUGGUAUCAGUAAAUGAUUGCUUUCUAUUAUGUGUUUUCCAGGAUUUUCAAACAUCAUAGACACUUAACCAUUUUAUUUUCCUGCUCCCAAACUUUAAAUGGCUCCUAAAUUCCUUCCGUGUGUGACUCUGUAUCCUGGCUCAUCACCCUCAUGUGAAAGUUAUCAGUUCCUAAGAUGCUACACUUUCCACUCUUACUUGUACAGAGAAAAUAUUUGCUUUCAUAAUCACCAGUGAUGUUAAAAUGACACAUCCGUGGAAUUUUGGAGCCAGACAUGAUGCUAGAGGUCCUUUAGGCCUGAUUUGCUGAGGAGUAAAUGAGGCUCCGAAGUCUUCCCUCCUUGGUUGUUAAGAAUAGAAGCCAGCACUUCUCAGUGUCAAUUCAGACUUUGUUCUUUUCUGCCAUGUACACUUGUCAAGCCCACCUUUUACAUCCAUUCCUUCUGGUAGGUCCACUGUAUAUCUCUUUAGUGGAGUGUCUUUCCACUCCUUCAAAAUCCUACUCAAAACUCAAGUACUUUAUGAAAUCAGUAAUGAUUAAAACUACUCACCUUGUAUCAGUAUUCAGCCUUUUGAGAAUGAUGUAAAGAACUAAGUACGAUAUUAUUCAGUUCGUGUUUUGAUUAAAGUUUAUUUUCAUGUAUAUUUGGCUUGUCUAGCAUUAUGGUAAAUUCUUUGAGAGCAGGCACUGUAACUGCAAUUUUUCCUCUCUAUAACCUUAGUACCAUGUUCUGUUCACAAAGAGUAUUCUGUGAAAGCUGAAUGAACAACAGACUGCCUAGUCAUGCCUGGGAGUGAUCACCGAAUUCUGAAACGGUUAGAUUCAUCAUAAAAAUGUGUGUUGUAUAUUUUAAACCAUGAUCAUGUUAAUAUGAUGGUGAGAUUUGUAUAAUUUUCUGAGCUCUUUUGCAUGCAGUAACUCAUUAGAUAAUACAACAACCCAGAAGAUGGGUAAUAUUUAGAUGGUAAAAUUGAGACUCAGAGAAAUAACUUUCUGAAGAUGUUGCAGUAGAUGCAGGGGUAUGCCACUCAGACUGAGAAAUUAUUCCCAUGGCCACCAGGGUAUUGGGAGCUGAUGGUUUCCAGCUCAGAACUUGAGUACAUCUCUCUACAGAUCUCUAGAGCACUCUUUGUGAGCAUCUCUCUCCUCUCUGGUUCUCUUUCCUCUGAUUACUAACCACCUCUCUGGACUCCCAGCUGCGUCUCCUCAAUUGAGGAGAGCCAUAAAAGCUCUGUCAGGGUUCCAUUUUCCUUCCCAUGGCCUGAAAAGUCUCCAGGAAGUAAGUUGGGACAAUUAAAGGGCUCACUUUAUUUGUCUCCC